rnacentral:rRNA from 1 species
UACGUAGGGGGCUAGCGUUGUCCGGAAUCAUUGGGCGUAAAGAGCGUGUAGGCUGCUCGGUAAGUCCGCUGUAAAAGUCAAAGGCUCAACCUUUGAAUGUCAGUGGAUACUGCCGGGCUAGAGUCCGGAAGAGGCGAGUGGAACUCCUGGUGUAGCGGUGAAAUGCGCAGAUAUCAGGAGGAACACCGGUGGCGAAGGCGGCAUCCUGGACCGGCAUUGACGCUGAGGCGCGAAAGCCAGGGGAGCAAACGGG